GUUUGACCAGGCAGUGAGCGAGUUCGGAAGCACAGUUUUUGAGAACAACAGGAGGGACUCCAUCCGGACCGUAAGCCUUCCGAGAAUCAAGGCCAGAGAGGGCCCAAACAAAUUUUUUAUACUGCCCAAUUAAGGUAAAAGAGGAUGAGGAGGAGACGGCACAUUUCACCACUUCACUAAACAAAGAAGCUUCAAUUCAUCAAAUCUAACCAACCGAGCCAUUUCGAAGCCGAUAAUGAAGGGAGCCCUCAAGGAAGAGAAUGUAGUAGGCCUCUAAUUCAAUAUAAGGUUCUAAAUUGGGAGAGGCGUAGUUUGCUACUUCCCGGCAACUAGGGGAAGGUGGAUAAUCGCCCCAAGCAAAACGUACCUUAAGACGGACCCAUGUGGAUAGAUAGUAAUGAAACAGUCUUCGAGGUCCCGACCGAACGAUUGAGAACAUUGAAGCGAAAUGAGACCUACUCUGACGUAGUAGUACUGCGUACUAUGCUGUCAGUAGUGGAGUGUAGUGUUAAGACUGCGGAUGGAGUUCACGAUUAGUCCCUGUUGCCUGUAGUUUAGUACAAGACUCUUGGACUGUUGUGUAACCCUGAUGCAAAUGACAUGAAAAUACUUAGGUUGCCAACACACCUCAGAGUUAUCGUGGACGGCAAACAACCUCGAUGUAAGAACAGAACAACACUGUGAAGUGGCAACUGGCUAUGCGAGUCCUUAAUCAAGCAAGUUUGGACCUUGGAAACUGCCAAGAUAGAGGUGUGGAACUAUAACACUGCCAGGCCCAUGAUUCAAGAAGUUACUGGUAUGUGUUUACUGCAUUGAAUUAUGUGCUUUGAUCUCAUUUGUUCUCUCAACACAUCUAACCAUACAUGUAUCUAGGGAAAUAAACUGUCAUUGGGAUGGAAGACAGACUGUGUUGUUUCAGCAAUUUCUCUGCUUAUGGAGUGUCAAACCAGAUGCUUAUAAAGAAAAGAAUAAAUUUGUGGAAAUUCAUGAAUCUUUGCAAAUGUUUUUGUAGUUUGUAAAUCUGACUUUUCUUGCAGUUUACGUAAAAUCAAUACACGAGACACUUUUUAAUUCCUUUUAUGUAAGGAGUCCUUGUACCAUUUCCUUUUUUCACCUUGUCUUCACAAAGUGCAGGAAUUAUAUUGCUGCAUAAGUGCCAUUUAUUUAUAUUUUUUAUUUAUAAUAUUUUUUUUUUUCUUCCCAUCUUACUGCACUCCAUAGUAGUAAUGUUGAAUGGUACUUGAGGCUGACAACAGCCACUACUUUAUUGAGACCAGAUUAACACUGAGGGUGAUAUUUUUAGAUCUCUACAUAAAAAUGAUCUGGCAAAGUUAAUCACCUCUGUGCUGGCUUUGGGCAUCAGGAGGAGGUAGUAGACACCUACUGAAACAAUAGUUUACUCCCAGCGAGAUCUAAUAGCACUAUAGUCUGUCCGUUUUUAUUAUCUCAGAG